rnacentral:lncRNA from 10 species
CAUCCAGCUCUCCCUCUUUUCAGCCAGCUUUCUACGGAACAUCAAUGAGUACCUGGCCGUAGUCGAUGCUCCUCCCCUGGACCUCCGGUUCAACCCCUCGGGCUACCUCUUGCUGGCUUCAGAAAAGGAUGCUGCAGCCAUGGAGAGCAACGUGAAAGUGCAGAGGUGGGUGCCUGGCACAGCCUCUUAGCUGCUUGGCAGCCAAAGGUGUUGGGUGACUCCUGCACCAGGUUAGGAAGCGAGAAAGUGGAGUUGAUAAGACAGAUCCCUGCGGUCUAGGACCUCAGUGUGUCAGGAAGAAAAUACACAGACCUGCAAUGCCCUGGGAGUGCUGUACCACAGAUAUGGACAAAACACUGCGAGGUGCUUCCUAAUUUGUCAGAUCAUGAAAACCACCUGGAACACAUCCCAGACCUAAUAAACCAGAAUCUCUAGGGAAGGAGCCCACAAAUCUGGGUUUUUAACAAGAACCUUAAGUCAGGAGUUAGCAAACUUUUUCUGUAAAGGGCCAGAUAGUAUAUAUUUUAGGUUUUGCUGGCCAUACAGUCUCUAUUCCAACCACUUUGCUAUCACAGCAUGAAAGCAGCCAUAGACAAAAGUGCAAAUGAAGGAGUGUGGCUCAUUUAUGAAAACAGGCAGCAGGUCGGAUUUGGCAACCCCUGCUCUAAGUGAUUCUCAUGGUCAGGUGAGGGUGGGCAUGUUUGUGAUGCAAUAUGGCCAGAGGCUUUAUUUGUAUGUUUAUUUAACAAACACCCAAGUCUCAGAGUGACAUCAAUUAAUAUCCUAAAUGCUGUACAGAU